UACACACGUACGAACUGGGCACUUCGUCGACAAAACGCGUCGGUCGCCAGUUGACGCCUGCGGUGGGGUGGUCGCGAAAACGGUGCACUCGUCGGAGAUUCGGCAUGGUGGUAAGAAUUCAGACGUGACUGCUUCGCUUGAGUACAAGAGCGGAUUGGCUGUAUCUGGCCUAGCGCUACUCGGUCGUCCCAUACACUUCGGCUCACAUAGCAAGAGCGACAGAUAACGCGAUGACGUUUACCCGGUGUGGC
rnacentral:lncRNA from 1 species